UACGGAGGGUGCGAGCGUUGUCCGGGAUCACUGGGCGUAAAGGGCGCGUAGGCGGCUUGGGAAGUCUGUGGUGAAAGCUCGUGGCUCAACUGCGAGUCGGCCAUAGAUACUCCUAAGCUCGAGUCGACUAGAGGCAGAUGGAAUUCCGGGUGUAGCGGUGGAAUGCGUAGAGAUCCGGAAGAACACCGGUGGCGAAGGCGGUCUGCUGGGGUCGAACUGACGCUGAGGCGCGACAGCGUGGGGAGCAAACAGG
rnacentral:rRNA from 1 species